rnacentral:rRNA from 1 species
GAUGAACGCUAGCGGCAGGCUUAAUACAUGCAAGUCGAGGGGCAGCAGGGGUGUAGCAAUAUACUCGCUGGCGACCGGCAAACGGGUGCGGAACACGUACGCAAUCUACCCAAAACUGAUGAAUAGCCCUCCGAAAGGAGGAUUAAUACAUCGUAACCUAUUAGAGUGGCAUCACUUUAUUAGUAUAGCUCCGGCGGUUUUG